rnacentral:rRNA from 1 species
AGUGAACGCUGGCGGUAGGCCUAACACAUGCAAGUCGAACGGCAGCACAGUAAGAGCUUGCUCUUACGGGUGGCGAGUGGCGGACGGGUGAGGCAUACAUCGGAAUCUACUUUUUCGUGGGUGAUAACGUAGGGAAACUUACGCUACUACCGCAUACGACCUACGGGUGAAAGCAGGAGAUCUUCGGACCUUGCGCGAUUGAAUGAGCCGAUGUCGGAUUAGCUAGUUGGCGGGGUAAAGGCCCACCAAGGCGACGAUCCGUAGCUGGUCUGAGAGGAUGAUCAGCCACACUGGAACUGAGACACGGUCCAGACUCCUACGGGAGGCAGCAGUGGGGAAUAUUGGACAAUGGGCGCAAGCCUGAUCCAGCCAUACCGCGUGGGUGAAGAAGGCCUUCGGGUUGUAAAACCCUUUUGUUGGGAAAGAAAAGCAGCAGGUUAAAACCCCGCUGUUCUGACGGUACCCAAAGAAUAAGCACCGGCUAAAUUAGUG